UGCACAAUGGGCGCAAGCCUGAUGCAGCCAUGCCGCGUGUGUGAAGAAGGCCUUCGGGUUGUAAAGCACUUUCAGCGGGGAGGAAGGCGUUAAGGUUAAUAACCUUGGCGAUUGACGUUACCCGCAAAAAAAGCACCGGCUAACUCCGUGCCAGCAGCCGCGGUAAUACGGAGGGUGCAAGCGUUAAUCGGAAUUACUGGGCGUAAAGCGCACGCAGGCGGUCUGUCAAGUCGGAUGUGAAAUCCCCGGGCUCAACCUGGGAACUGCAUUCGAAACUGGCAGGCUAGAGUCUUGUAGAGGAUGGGUAGAAUUCCAGGUGUAGCGGUGAAAUGCGUAGAGAUCUGGAGGAAUACCGGUGGCGAAGGCGGCCCCCUGGACAAAGACUGACGCUCAGGUGCGAAAGCGUGGGGAGCAACAGGAUUAGAUACCCUGGUAGUCCACGCCGUAAACGAUGUCUAUUUGCCAGGUUGUGCCUUUGAGGCGUGACUGCCGGAGCUAACGCGUUAAAUAGACCGCCUGGGGAGUACGGCCGCAAGGAUUAAAACUCAAAUGAAUUGACGGGGGCCCGCACAAGCGGUGGAGCAUGUGGUUUAAUUCGAUGCAACGCGAGAACC
rnacentral:rRNA from 1 species